rnacentral:rRNA from 1 species
UGCCAGACUCCUACGGGAGGCAGCAGUGGGGAAUAUUGCACAAUGGGGGAAACCCUGAUGCAGCGACGCCGCGUGAGUGAAGAAGUAUUUCGGUAUGUAAAGCUCUAUCAGCAGGGAAGAAAAUGACGGUACCUGACUAAGAAGCCCCGGCUAACUACGUGCCAGCAGCCGCGGUAAUACGUAGGGGGCAAGCGUUAUCCGGAUUUACUGGGUGUAAAGGGAGCGUAGACGGCCAGACAAGUCAGAAGUGAAAGCCCAGGGCUCAACCCUGGGACUGCUUUUGAAACUGCCGGGCUGGAGUGCAGGAGAGGCAGGCGGAAUUCCUAGUGUAGCGGUGAAAUGCGUAGAUAUUAGGAGGAACACCAGUGGCGAAGGCGGCUUUCUGGACUGUAACUGACACUGAGGUACGAAAGCGUGGGGAGCAAACAGGAUUAGAUACCCCAGUACGC